GGCUUCUACAUCCACUGCAAUAGCUCUUGCACAACACAGGGCUGUGGAAAGAAGGAGAGACUGUGCUCAUGGCCACUCCACCCAAUUCCUCCCUAGAGGGCAAAGGUUUGGGUGGGGGAACUGGCUCUAUCGCCAGGCCACCCACCCAGGUUAGGUCUUCUGCCCGGAGCUGGGCAGAUGGGAACUGCCACUUAGCUGUCAAGCCCAUGGCGACAACAUGGAUCUCAGCAGGAGGGGUGGUUUUUAAGGAGUGAGAAGAGGUAGUUGACUCAAGCUUCAGUAUAUCCAGUUUUGCAAAACCACAGCUGAGGAUCUUAAAUGUUACUCUGACUUGGAUAAUCUGCCACUCUUAGUGACACUGUUUUCCUCACUGGGCUUGCUACAGGUUGGAAGGGAAAACUGCCCUUCAACAAUGCAAAUGCACAGCCAUUGUGUCUGCAAGUCCAGAAUUAUUGAUAAGUUUUACCUCAUUUAUUCCCUCAUCUGACACAGGCUGGAGACCAGCUUCAUUACAACUACUUUCUAGAAGAAGAAACAAAAUUGUUUGGCAGCAUGCUCAAAGUGAUGAAUUGUGAAAAUGAAUGAAAUAUCCUUGUAACAUCUUUGGAUGUCUCUUAAUGUAUCUCUCCAUUUUUCUUCCAAAGGCCAUUUGUUUGUUAAGAUCUUCCCAGGGAAGAGACUUGCAGUGCAUACUUCAAACAUCAAUUUGAAAUGAUUCUUCAGGUGCGAUGCCAGCAACUUUCACAUGCCUCCUUCACGUGGCCUCUGUGAUCUCUGGCAUGUCCUCUUUUUCCCCUCCCUGCCCAAGUGCAUUCUGAAUAACAAGGACUUCUGGCUGGACUUACUGUUUGGGUCAAGUUCAGAGAGUGUUCUUGUGUUUCUUUCAUCAUCUAAUAAAGAUGGGAGGCGGAGGUCAGGGGAAGCACGUCUUGGAGAUGAAGGGCAAAUUGAGAUCUUUGAUUCAAAGAGCGUGGCUCCAUCACUUUCUCUUGCACAGAAAUUGUAUUCAUCCCACACUUCCUACUGCAAAUCACUCUGGUACGACGUGACAAUGCAGCAGAUACACAAGGACGUUUCCCACAUCGCACUACAAACAUAGACACCCUCUCCGGGGAACCUAAGAGAAACCCUUGGGCUUCCACUUCCCCUCCAUUUGUUUGAAGGAUCAAGAGAACACAGUUCCAUUUUCAACAAAAAUGAAAAAGGAAAAUCAUGAAAAGAGCCAACCUCCUUUUUUUCUCUCUUAAUAUAUUGUUGCAUCCAGGGAAGAGGAAGCAGUGAGCGCCACUGAUACUGGGUCCCUGGGGACCCUAUAAGGGUCACUCCCCAGCUCUCAAAUGAGCUCGUCUUCCUCCGCUUGCAGAGCAAAUUCAUAAUGGGACUGGAAGUUACUCUUGGCUCAGGUCUGCUCUGCAGAAAAUGAAGUACCCUGGUGCUUCAGGGAACCAGGCUGUCUUCCCACCUGGGUUUUUACAGGGAGGACAGUUUUUAGCUUUAAAGCUUUGCAGGUUUGGAGUAAGGAGAUUUGAAAGGCCCUGAGCUGUGUUCCUGCCAGGCUCCAUAGGCCUGUAAGCACUGUGUGUUCCUUAAGGGUAGGGGCAGUCUCCUACUACAUGUUUUUGUUUCUUAUUUCUUCUUAAGGUGCUUUCUGUGGUGCCAUGGACCAAUUCACUUUGGGACUUAAAAUGUGACAACAUCUUAUUUAUUCUGUACUGUUGCAAAGUAAUGUGUGCACUGGAUAAAAUUUUCCAGACAACUGGACUGUCAGCCUUUGAGAAUUGAAUAGUUUAAAAUGAAAAUGUGUUUGGAGUGCAUUUAGUUAAUAAAUAUGGUAGAGAUGAUGAACUGUUCUUUGACCGUGCAAGUCCAUUAUUAGGAACAUGUACUAUUUUACUGGCUGGAUCAGAGAUGGCCCCAGGGCCUGUGGAGAUAAGAACUCCUUGAGCCUCCCCUUGGGGUCCUAGGGCUCCCCCUCGUGCCCUCGGUUUGCUGGGUUCUAACUCUGUGCCCCUUUGUCUCCACUGGUACCGUUUCUUCCCAGGGUCCGUGUCUGAGAAGCUUCACUCAGUCUUGACUAUUUCCUUCUUCACUGAUCAUAACCCAGAAUAAAACUGAGAGAAACCAGAUGGACUUACUUGUACAUAUACUAUUUGGCAAGUAGGUUCUCUUGCUAAUCAAGUAAAGAGCGUGGGUUUUAU
ensembl:lncRNA